rnacentral:tRNA from 1 species
GAGACAAAGGUUAAAUCCCUUUUACCCACCGAGCCUGCCUGGGGUAAUGAGAACUGCUAAUUCCUCAUAUCCAUGGUUCGAUUCCAUGGUUUGCUCA